UUUUUGAGAAUAAUUUAAGGUCUAACCUGCCCACUGAAACAUUAAAGGGCCGCAGUAUUUUGACUGUGCAAAGGUAGCAUAAUCAUUUGUCUUUUAAUUAAGGACUAGAAUGAAUGGUUGGAUGAAAUAUUAACUGUCUCAUUUUUAAAAAAAUAAAAAUUUAUUUUUUUAGUUAAAAAACUAAAAUAAAUUUAAAAGACGAGAAGACCCUAUAGAUCUUAAUAAUUAAUAUUUAUAUAAAAAUUAGUUUUAAAUAUAUUAUAUAAUUUAUUAUUAUUUUGUUGGGGUGACAAAAAAAUUCAAUUAACUUUUUUUAAAAUAAACCAAUAAUAUUUGAAUAUUUGAUCCAGUAAUAUUGAUAAUAAAAUUAAGUUACCUUAGGGAUAACAGCGUAAUUUUUUUAGAGAGUUCUUAUCGAAAAAAAAGAUUGCGACCUCGAUGUUGAAUUAAAGAUUAUUUUUAAAUGUAGCUGUUUAAAGUUUAGGUCUGUUCGACCUUUAAAUCUUU
rnacentral:rRNA from 1 species